rnacentral:lncRNA from 1 species
CCAGAAAUAAAAAAAAAUGAAAAAAAACUAAGCCCCUACUCCGCCGCUCUACUCAUCGAUCCUUCAAACGGAUCUCCGAACCCCCGCUCAGGCUCCGACGGCGACAGAGAGAGCGAGGAUUCGACGGUUAGGUAUUUUCUUUGGACUUUUUGCUACCGCUCUACCUCUUUAAAACGCCUAAUGGAAUCUUAAAUAAAAAGAACCACGAAAAAAAAGAAAAAAAAAAGAGAAGGUAGAAGGACCCAGAAAUCACCUUUUGGUGCUUUUUGAUAUUUUUUUUGUAUUCUGAUCGCUUUCUUUUUUUUCAAAAGGGUACAUCGAUGGGGUUUUUAUAACCCAAAAAGAAAAGAAUAUAAUUUUUUUUCUGUUUCUCCUAUUUUCUUUUUCUUUUUUUUCUCUGCCGAUGUUUGCCCCUCUUUUCGUUCGUUGUCUGUCUUUUGCUGCUAGUUUGCUCGUUUCUUGCAGGUACGGAGAGCAGGGCUUGGGACGUGGCGUGUACGGAGGCAAAGCAAGCAGCGGUGGUGCACGUGUGAGGUCGCGCACGCGGGCAGAGGCUCGGCACGUGGGGACGAAGGCCUUGGUGGUUGCGGCACUGGAAGCCAAAUGCUGCUAGGGUUUCAGUCUCGGUUAGGCUAGGUGUGGGCCAUUGGGCCAUUAGGUUUAGGUUAGUGGGUUAGGUGUACGGGACCUCUGUUUAGUGGGUUUCGGGCAUGUAAAUUUGGGUUUUCAAAUUGGGUCAAUGUAAUGGACAUCUGGACUUUGGUUAUUGGUUUUAUUUAUUUUAGUGGGCCCGGGUCAAAGUUGGGCAUUACAGAUACUUUAGCAGUACUUAAGUCUUUCCAAUUAAGGAUGUUCGACAAUCUGUUCUGAGUUGAUGGUUUGGUGCUUCUAAAUAUAAAAAUGAUAAGGCAGUAGACACUGUGUUAUUGUUGAUAUUGAUUAGAUUUAAUCAUCUCUUAGCUAUUGGGAGACCAGGUCAGCUUUGUUGAUUGUUGUUACGGCCUUAAGAAUUGCUGCAGCAUUUGCUGCCCGGGGAAACAGGGUAUGUUACGGUCAUGAAAAUUAUGAAAUUUGCUUGGUACUGCAAACUAAUGGAUACACUUGUGGAUAAAAUGAGGAACCUGGCUAUAAGUGGAAAUGGACGUAUGCCCGUAAAACUGGAAAAAUAUGUCUAGAAGAAGUCAAGGUCUUUCCCUUAACUAUAUCUGUUUUCUAUGUUCACUACUUUGAGAAAUCUAAAUUUCUUUUAAGAAACAUAAAAUUUCAUUAGUUGACAAAAUAUUAGAUUACAUAAGAAUCUAUCUUGCUAAAGUUCGUCAUCCCUCCCUUUGACACAACAUAAUAAAAUAUAUACUAACCAACAUAUUUGAAGAAAGCCGGGAACUUAUUCUUUUAGUUAUAUUGCUAGAACAAAGAACUGAAAGACCCUGGUGUAUAUUUCUAGACAUUAAUUUGAACUCCUGUGUCAUAUGUCUCUCCACCUUUCCAAUUUUCUGGUAUGUUGUUUACAGGAAUAAUCCAUGACUCAUCUCCAUCCUCCCCACUCAGUAACAUUCUUAAAGACAAUGGACCACUUGGGGGUGAAUUGGUUGUCCAUACUGCUCCAUGACUCCUAUCCAACAGCUUGCACACAAAGUUCUGAGUCUGCACACAUUAGAGGUAAGCUCAUUAGUUAACUACUAUACUGGUUCUUGUAGAUUUGACCACCAAAUUUAUCUUCCCUUUGCAACUCCAUAGUCAUACCUGCUGAAGCUAAACAGGAAAUCAAGUUUGGAAAGAGCAAAUAAUACCUCACAUAGCUGCACGGCUGUGAUAUCCUUGUCACCUUGUUGAUACCAUAAAACAAAUGCAAAAUAAUGAGGGUAGUUGCUGUUCUCAUCAAUCUUGAUUGUAAUAUUUUUGUUCGGAUAG